UUGACCUCGGAUCAGGUAGGGAUACCCGCUGAACUUAAGCAUAUCAAUAAGCGGAGGAAAAGAAACCAACCGGGAUUGCCCUAGUAACGGCGAGUGAAGCGGCAAGAGCUCAAAUUUGAAAGCUGGCCCCCUCGGGGUCCGCAUUGUAAUUUGCAGAGGAUGCUUCGGGAACGGCCCCCAUCUAAGUGCCCUGGAACGGGCCGUCAUAGAGGGUGAGAAUCCCGUCUGGGAUGGGGUGGCCGCGCCCGUGUGAAGCUCCUUCGACGAGUCGAGUUGUUUGGGAAUGCAGCUCUAAUUGGGUGGUAAAUUUCAUCUAAAGCUAAAUAUUGGCCGGAGACCGAUCGCGCACAAGUAGAGUGAUCGAAAGAUGAAAAGCACUUUGAAAAGAGAGUUAAACAGCACGUGAAAUUGUUGAAAGGGAAGCGCUUGCGACCAGACUCGCCCGCGGGGUUCAGCCGGCACUCGUGCCGGUGUACUUCCCCGCGGGCGGGCCAGCGUCGGUUUGGGCGGCCGGUCAAAGGCCUCUGGAAGGUAACGCCUCUCGGGGCGUCUUAUAGCCAGGGGUGCCAUGCGGCCUGCCCGGACCGAGGAACGCGCUUCGGCUCGGACGCUGGCAUAAUGGUCGUAAGCGACC
rnacentral:rRNA from 1 species